UUGGGGGAAUUUAAGAGAAAAACCUCAGGGUUUGACACUGGUUACAAAUCAAACCCUGAGUUUUUAGUUUUGUCAAUUCCAACCCUAAACUUCUAAAUUGGUGUCAAAUUCCAACCUUCCGUCUAUGUACGUUACGGAAGAGCUAUACAUUUAUCAUUCUGUCCAACUUAUUUUGGAUAGUUGACAAUUAAUGAUUCGGACGUUGUCUCUCCAUUUUUUGUCCAGCUAUUUAUUUCGUGAUUUAUAAUUAAAUAUAUAACGGUAUGCCCUGAAGGAGUGUUGAGAAAAGUUUGAAUAUUGAGAGUAAAAUGAUCCAUAGAGAACAGAAGCACACAGAGAAGGAAGUAGAAAAAGGUGUAAAAUGACAAAAGUGUCCCUCCUCUAUUGGUAUUUCUUAACGAUCCAAAACAUACUUAUUAAUAAACCCUAAGGUGUUAGUGUUCGGAAAUAUUGACUUUUCGGUUCGGUGGUGGUGGUUAUUAUUUUGUAAAAAUAAAAAAAUGUUAGCAAGGAAAACGAGGAGGGGCGGUCCUAAGGAGGGGCGGGUAGGGCCACAGUUCCCUCUAAGAUGGCAAAAAUUAUUCUUCAACUAGUAAUAUUUUUAAAAAUCAUAUAACUCGGCCCCUCUAAGUAAGUAGCUCGCCCCCUAAGCAAAAUUUCUACAUCCGCAGGGAAAACAAGUGAUUAAAUUAAGUACUUCCGUCCCAAAAUAAAGAACUAAAAUGUUCCUUUCAGAUAAUUUACGUGAAUCGUGCAAAAGUAAACGUUUGCAAUAUUUCUUAAAAAAAUUAUGCAUGAAAUGUAAUGAUCAUGUUAUUAGAGCAUUCAUGACCACCCAUUGAAAGAGAUCUUAACGUGCAUGCGAGUUUUAUGUAUUUAAAUAUAAAUCUAAUAUAAUUGAGAUAUUUCUCCGGGAAAAUUAUACUAAACCUCCUCAAACUAUGGCAAAUUUCCGAGUUGCCCCUUGAACUUUUGACUCAGACACUUAAUCUUCUUCAAGUAUAGGAAUUAAAAAAAAAAGAAUAUAUAGCGUUAACGGAAUAACGUAAAUUACCAUUUUAGCCUUCUAUUAUAUUCUCUUCCUCAAAAAUACCCUUUUUCUAUUUUAUCAGCGGCAUUACAAUUUUGCGAGACCAGUGACCGUUGCCACCCUCAACACCGGAAAACCGCCUAGCCCUAUAAGCAAACCCAACCAUUAACGCUCAACCCAUAACCUCCCGGUCCUCCCCUCCAACACCCUAACACUACCAUACAUACAAAACUAAUCCCUAAUCAUUAUUGCCCCCAAAACCACUGGAACACUAGCCAAACCGACCAAACCACGCACCACUGCCACCACAAAUCAAACACAAGCAUGGCCUGAAAGCUGCCGAAAUCAGACACCACCUCCAAACUCACCCCACCCCAGCCCAACACCCAUUCACGUCAGCCCCUCUAAUCCACAAUCGCAACAACCCGAAAACCAAAGCGCCAAAUAUAGGGUUCAGAACCACCCCCAACCUUCCACCUCCCUCUCUUCCCCAAAUUUUCUCCUCCCUUUCCUUACAUUCGCCUCAACCUCCCAAUUUCUUAAUGCGUUCGGUGAGAUGGAGGUCGUGAGGAGAUGGGUUUGUAAUCAAUUUCAGUGUGGGGAUGAAAUGGAGUUCAAUUGAGGCCUAAAAAUUGGGGAUUGAUAUGGUGAGAUAAGAUAGAGGAAGAUAUGGCGAUUUAAUCUGGUAUGGUUGGUGGAAUGGUCGAUAGGAAGAGAGAGAGAGAGAGAGAGAUGGGUUUCCCCGGCGAUGGCCGACAAUGAUGAGCUUGCGGCAAUAAUGUCCGACGAUGGCGAAUGGCCGUUGGCUUGGUUACGGCGACCAUGCCGAGGCUGCUUCAUUGUUGGUUUGGGUUUUGUAAGACAAAAAGAUCUAAUAUUUUAGACUUUAGGUAUACGUUGUUGGGUAAAAAACACACCAAUGCGUAUUCCACUCUAAUGGAU
rnacentral:lncRNA from 1 species